UCCAUAUUAGUAAGUGACAACCACCUUCGUGACCUAAACAACAUUGAUGCUGCCCAUGAAAUGUUGCAAUUCUUUGUACAAGACUUUGGAACAAUUUAUGGAAUAGAGUUCAUUACGUACAAUGUACACAAUUUGUUGCACAUCUGUGACGAUGUAAAGCGAUACGGGAAUUUAGGGAAAUUCAGCGCUUUUCGCUUCGAGAAUUAUAUGUCUACGGUGAAAAGAAUGCUCAGAAAAGGUGACAAGCCAUUGCAACAGAUUGCACGUCGAUACGCGGAAAUGGAGAAACUACAGAAUAAAUGUUCUUCAGUCAAUAAUUUCAGUUUAAAGCAGCCUCACAGUGAUGGACCCUUGACAGAAAAUAAUUUAUUUGAAGUUCCCGAACAAUACUCAGUAUUUGAAGAUAAAGGAUUUUUUAUAAACUCUAAGGAUGACAAAAAUAGAUGUGUCUUGCUAAAAGAUGGAUCGUUCCUAACAAUUGAAAAUAUUAUUAAAUAUGGUGUUGAUGACAUUAGAUUCAUAGGUUAUAAGCUUUUCUUUAAGAGCAGCUUAUACAGCAGUCCCGAUUCAAGGCUUAUAAAUAUAUAUAUAUAUUACACAUUCCAGUAACGAAGGUGAACGAUAUUGUGUACCAUUGAUUGAAGUUUUAUCGAAGGCAUGGAGAAUUCCUGUUUCUGAAGGUGAUGUGGUGAUCCCAUUACUGCAUGCAAAAGAAGAAAAAUGAAUAGAUUGUUUAUAGAAAAAUUCCCCAUUGAGGCAUCUAAUACAUAGUUCUCAUUGGCAAAGUUUUGUUCAUACAAAAAUCAAAUUUAAAAAAAAACUAGAAAUCUCAUCCGUGUGAAGAAACUCAUUUCCUGUGAUAUUAAGAAGGACAUAACAGGAAUCCUAUUCUAAUAAAUCAUGUUAAAUAAGAUUUGUCCGUUAAAGCUGGAGCUUUAUUAAAGUAUAUGUCAAGACUGGUCGAGCAAUGAUUGUGUAAUAGACCUUCUACAAAAAGAAAUUUUACCAUAAUUUCGAUUUAAUUAUUCCGCUGAUUUUUGGGACUUCUCGGCGGAGGUGUUUGACAGAAGUGCGCAUAAUUGCAUUCCCUGAUGAGAUGACAUUAAUAAAAGUGACGACAAUAUAUCAAAUCUACGAUCUCGAGGCAGAUUUGGAAAAACUUGCAAUCGAUGAGAAUAAUUGAGAUAAUUUUACUCUUUAACAUUCAAAGUAUUCGAAAGGACUUCAAAAAAUCUUUCUAUUCAGCUUGAAUUUGCACCAGUAUCGAACGAGAGAAGAGUGAUAGUGGUUCCGAAUUGGUCUCUGUGAGAUUUCAUAUUGGCGCCAAAUACUGCGACGCUUUCUACGACUUUUCUGUCAAUUUGGAAGGAGAUCACCUUCUUUUGCCACAAGAAAUUUAAAUAAUUCUUGGGGACUGGAUAAGAUCGUUGCUUCUGUUGUGGACCGAUUUGGAAUUAAUAUUUUGCUCGAAGUGUAUCGAAUGAAAGUUUUUGUGAUCCUAAUGAAGAAGUGGUUAACUCUACAUUAUAAACAAAUCAAUUGGCAAGACUGUUCCGAUUAUUCCUGUGAGUGCUACAGAUGACUCGACAUUAACGAAUUGUAAAUCAAAUGCUCAACAGCAAGUAAUUCCUGGUAGCGACACGGAAUCUAACAGCGGGAAAACUAAAACACAGAAAAGAUCAUAUGCAACUGCAUUUUCGACUCUAGACCAAAAUUUAGGAGAACUAACCCCAUAUGAAGAUGUCAUAUUAAAUAAACUAAAUAGAAUAGGAACGACAACAGAACUUAUGAGUCGCCAAUUACAAAAUAUACCUCAAAUUAACGCCAACGGUUUUCCAAUUCAUUCAUUUUCUCAUAAAGAUAAGGACUUGCAAAUAUUUCCAAUUGACGACGAAGAAACUUUCAAAAAAGUCGAUAGAAAACUUGCUCCAGAAACAGAGUAUUUCACAAAAGUGGUAGUUCACUGCCUUAAAAGCUGUUGGAAAAUAUUCAAAUUCCAGUCUAACUGUCAAUGCUGUAAUGAAGGAAAUUUUUACUCUGAACAUGGGCGAUAAAUUUUGCUUAACCGGCAAAAAUAAAAAUAAGUUCGUUUUUAGAGACACGAUUAUAUACAAAGUUGUUUCACCAGAAAGUCAGCACCUGUGCGAAUCCAAUUAUAAGUGAACAACAAUUUUAAAUAUUUAUCGAGGCAAUGGAAGUUUCGUCGCCAGCUUCAAAUUCUAAUUAUAUAUUUCUAUUAUUGUAUUAUUAUAUUAUAUAUAUAUAGUCAAUAGGCCCACGCCCAUAACGGCGGGCAAUACGCACCAUAUACUACUGACGGAUCCAAUAUUGAGGACUUUUUAAAUUUGGACUUUUUCAAAAUUUAAAAUGUAGGACAAGAAAAAUUAAAAAUUUCUCGGAUUCGUUUGAAACUGGUUUUAAGUGAAUUUAAUCAAUGGGUUGCAGACAUUUAUCUCAAAAUGAAAACUGCGAAAGAUUAUUAGGUCGAAUUCACAAGUGUCGAAUUGACAAAUGAUCUAACCUCUAUUUGCAUGAAUUGUAAAUUGAACGAAAUGUUAUUGUUUCGAAUAUUAAUAUGAUCAACUUUCAUGCGAAAAAAAUUAUAUUUUGAUCUAGUUUAUAUUUUACAUAAUUUUAAAUUUCUCUAAUUUUUA